GCUCCCAUCGUCUAGUGGCCUAGGACACGUGGUUCUCAUCCACGAAACACCGGUUCGAUUCCGGUUGGGAGCA
rnacentral:tRNA from 1 species